GGCAGCCAAAGGCUGCCGGAGUGGACAGCGCAAAUGGGACCCCCACGGCGGAAGUCGAGGCGGGGAGAUUUGGAGAAGUAGUUGCAAACCACGAGGACAGGGUACUGGACACCACAGGAGGAAACCCCGCCCCACCCACAAGGAAGACGAGCAGUCGGGAAGUGUGAUCUGCACAGCCCACAGCGCGCACCCUCCACCUCCACACCUCCUGAAGGACCAGCCUCAGCCUCGGAUACCGCCCACGCCAGCCCGGCGCCUGAGGUCGGAGCGCCGGAGGGAGGGGGGGUGCGGUCACCCUCUUCUCGCCCUGGCACUUCGCCAGCUCGCCCGACUCACCGUCCGCUGCCAAGCCGGAAUUGCUCCUGCGAGGUCCACAUCUGCGCCUGGGUAGGCGAAGCGGCAGCAACAGCGACACUAACCUGGGCGUCCACUCGCUAAAAGCUCUCACAGCCCGCCCCUGGCCACGGGCGGUGCAAAGGGAAGGACGUGCGUCUGCAGGAAGUGCGUCACGGCGCAGCGCGUGGCCUGCCGGGAAGCGUAGUUUCGGACCAGAGCGCGACCCUCGCGGUUCGGAGAAAGACUGUAUUACCGCGUUGACCUGCUGAUUUCUCCUCCGGCACGUUUUCUGUUUUUACCACUGCUGUAUGGGCUUCCCUGCUGGCGCAAUGGUUGAGAAUCUGCCAAUGCAGGGGACACGGGUUCAAGCCCUGGUCUGGGAAGAUCCCACAUGCCGCGGGGCAACUGGGCCCGUGAGCCACAACUACUGAGCCUGCGCGUUUGGAGCCUGUGCUCUGCAGUAAGAGAGGCCGCGAUAGUGAGAGGCCCGCGCACCGCGAUGAGGAGUGGCCCCCCGCUCGCCGCAACUAGAGCAAGCCCUCGCACAGAAACGAAGACCCAACACAGCCAAAAUAAUAAAUUAAUUAAUAAAUUAAUUUAUAAAAAAAAGA